AUUUGUAGAGGAUGCUUCGGGUAAGACCGCGGUCUAAUUCGCUUGGAACAGCGAGUCAUAGAGGGUGAGAAUCCCGUCUAGGAUCGUAGGUCGCGCCCAUGUGAAGCCCCUUCGACGAGUCGAGUUGUUUGGGAAUGCAGCUCUAAAUGGGUGGUAAAUUUCAUCUAAAGCUAAAUAUGGGCCAGAGACCGAUAGCGCACAAGUAGAGUGAUCGAAAGAUGAAAAGCACUUUGAAAAGAGAGUUAAACAGUAUGUGAAAUUGUUGAAAGGGAAGCGCUUGCAACCAGACUUGUGACUGACGGUUCCCCCGGCCUUCUGGCCGGGCUACUCCGUCACGUCCAGGCCAACAUCGGUUUGGGUGGUCGGUUAAAGACCCCGGGAAUGUAUCUACCUUCGGGUCGACUUAUAGCCCGGGGUGCAAUGCGGCCCACCCGGACCGAGGAACCGCGCUCCGGCUCGGAUGUUGGCCUAAUGGUUGUAAGCGGCCCGUCUUGAAACACGGACCAAGGAGUCUAACAUCUAUGCGAGUGUUUGGGUGUCAAACCCCUACGCGGAAUGAAAGUGAACGGAGGUAAGAACCCCCCCGGGGCGCAUUAUCGACCGAUCCUGAUGUCUUCGGAUGGAUUUGAGUAAGAGCAUAGCUGUUGGGACCCGAAAGAUGGUGAACUAUGCAUGAAUAGGGUGAAGCCAGAGGAAACUCUGGUGGAGGCUCGCAGCGGUUCUGACGUGCAAAUCGAUCGUCAAAUUUGUGCAUAGGGGCGAAAGACUAAUCGAACCAUCUGGUAGCUGGUUCCUGUCGAAGUUUCCCUCAGGAUAGCAGUAACGUUUUCAGUUUUAUGAGGUAAAGCGAAUGAUUAGAGGCCUUGGGGUUGUAACAACCUUAACCUAUUCUCAAACUUUAAAUAUGUAAGAAGUCCUUGUUACUUAAUUGAACGUGGACAUUUGAAUGUAUCGUUACUAGUGGGCCAUUUUUGGUAAGCAGAACUGGCGAUGCGGGAUGAACCGAACGUGAGGUUAAGGUGCCGGAAUGUACGCUCAUCAGACACCACAAAAGGUGUCAAUGCAUCCAGACAGCCGGACGGUGGCCAUGGAAGUCGGAAUCCGCUUAGGAGUGUGUAACAACUCACCGGCCGAAUGCAUUGGCCCUGAAAAUGGAUGGCGCUUAAGCGUGCUACCUAUACCUCGCCGUCGGGGUUGAAAUGAGGCCCCGACGAGUAGGCAGGCGUGGGGGUUGGUGACGAAGCCUUGGGGGGACCCCGGNCGACAC
rnacentral:rRNA from 1 species